ensembl:lncRNA
CUCUGGGCACCGCCCAACCUGUCAGGCCGCUGCAGGCUGAGAGAGCUGGUAGCCAGGUGGUACCAGGACGCUAGCCCGUGACAAGCCGUCACCAGCCACAGGAGAGGAACACGGCUGUGUGGUCUGGCUUCUCAGUGCGGCUGGGGAUAGUGCUCCCCACGACCACCACCGUCUGCUUCACGGCCACCUGGACACCCUCCGACGCGUCGCUGGGCCCGGCAGCUGAGCAGGUACUUUCACGCCUUGUCUGCUCCGGGGCCACCGUCUGCGGAAGCGUGCUGAGCUCCGGGCAGCAAUGGCCCCACCGCGUGCACUGCGCUGCCCCCUGUGCCGUAUCAACUGCCCCUGCCCAGGAGCCUCCUCCAGAUGUGACCCAGGGCGGCCCAGGCGGUCCUGCAUAGGCUUGUUCUCACUAUCACCGAGGGAGAAGAAGCAGGCAGUCAUUACGAACCCAUACUGUCAUUCGAAAACUCAAGCCUUGCAACAACCCCCCGACCAGGGUCAUUGGGAAAGACCCCGCCCAAUGCUGGGAAAGAUUGCAGGCGGGAGGAGACGGGGACGACAGAGGACGAGAUGGUUGGAUGGCAUCACCGACUCGAUGGACAUGAGUUCGAACAAGCUCCGGGAGUUGGUGAUGGACAGGGAGGCCUGGCGUGCUGCAGUCCAUGGGGUGGCAAAGAGUCCGACAGGACUGAACGAGUUUCACCUUUCACUUUCACUUAGGACCCUCAACCCGAGCAGGGCGGGCCCCGCCCCAACGUCGAUGCGUAUGCUCCCCAGGCCACCCCAGCCACGCCCCUGCCCGGCGCUUAGGCCAGCGCCCCGCCCCCUAGGAGAACCGGAAGCAGAAUCCUCGCGGGUCAAAGCUGUCGG